rnacentral:lncRNA from 1 species
ACAUAUAAAAGGAGUAAAUGUGGGUGGUUUGAUUUAUAAUUAAACAUGUUGUUGAAGUAGUAACAAUAAUGUAAGCCAUUAAAAGCAUUACAAAAUCCCACCAUGAUCCAAUUAAACUGAUCACCAAAUAAUUUAGGAGUAAUGUCCUCCAACCCCAUCUCCAAGCAAGAGUCUAAUAUUUAGGAAGUUUGUCUUAAACAUGCUUGCUUGUGAUUAGCACCAAACAUUCAAUUUUGUGAGAAAGCAAAAUUAUUAGAUUUGGAAGACAAACCAAAAAGGUAGUUGGUUGGCUGCCUCUAAUUUAAACAUGGUUCAAAUAAUUAUAUAUAUAUAUAUAUAUAUAUAUAUUACCAACUCUAAAGCUUUGUGCACAAACUUCCAACUCACAAAUAUAUAUCCUCUAAUUUUGUAAAACUAUAUCUUCCAACCCCUAUUCUCUUUUCCUUCCAAAUCCCCCAUUCUUUUUCUCACUAUUUCCUUUUCUUCUUCUGCAAAUCCAAAUAAAGGACAACUAUUUAACCCAGAUCACAAAAACUAAAUCAAUAUUACUUGAAUUUGGUGGAGGAUGUGGACAUGAUAGUGUAUAAGAUGACAAGAAUAAAUGAAAAGAGAUCCACUUCCAUAUCUAAAGUAAACUAUACCAUAUCAUUGUAAAAAGUAUAGGAGAGAACCUAUAUUGUACUAUACAAAAAUGUCGUCAACAACUUUCAUGAUGCGACUGUAGUAGUUGGAACUUGAGAAGUCGAUAAGGCAAAGAAGAUAAGAAGCAUCAUGAUAACGAGAGGCACAAAGAGAAACACCAUAGGCGGCGGCGGGAGUGGGGGAAGAAGUAGAGGCAACACCAAAAGGGAUAGUGUCCAAAGAAACAACAAAAACAUGUUGGAGUAACGGGCCAUCAAGAAAGGAAAAGUAGCCCUAGCUAGCUCAAGCCUUAUUUCCUCUGGUGCAAAUUUGUACUUGCUUUUGCCAUCUUAGUUGUAAAGUCACAUCUAAUAAGUCUUUGAUGGUUAGUGCUACCACGGAGAGAGGAGUCUAACGAUGCUGAAGGAGGCAAACGGGUUCUCGUGGUGGCAUCGAUGGCCGAUGAGGGCGGAGGAGGGGAAUUUUUGUAGCAGAAAGAGGUGGAGAUGGUGGUUGAAGAGACAGGUUUUGUAUACAUAGUAGGAUUAUAGAUGAGAGGGAGAGAAAGGUUUCAUAUAUAUGGCGUUCUACUAUCUUUCAUAUAUAUAUAUAUAUAUUCAUUGCUUCUUGAUUCUAAGCGCGACAAUUUUGCACAUCUUUUGUACUUCUAGAAUACAAGAUUGAAGUAAUUUUUCUUUUUAUUUUGAAUCUCUC